UACGAAGGUCCCGAGCGUUAUCCGGAUUUAUUGGGUUUAAAGGGUGCGUAGGCGGAUUAUUAAGUCAGUGGUGAAAGCCUUCAGCUUAACUGAAGAACUGCCAUUGAUACUGAUGAUCUUGAGUAUGAUUGAGGUGGGCGGAAUGUGUCAUGUAGCGGUGAAAUGCUUAGAUAUGACACAGAACACCGAUUGCGAAGGCAGCUCACUAAGUCAUAACUGACGCUGAUGCACGAAAGCGUGGGGAGCAAACAGG
rnacentral:rRNA from 1 species